rnacentral:tmRNA from 1 species
GGGGACGUUUUUGGAUUCGACGGGGGUAGUUCGAGCAUGAGUAGCGGGUAGUGGGGAGCGUCCGCUUCAUCAACGCUAACGCCUAUUAAAUGGCAAACAACAACAAAACUACGCUUUCGCAGCUUAAUAACCUGUGAGCGUGCUUCUGCUUAGCAUCGCCCAUGUGCUAGGAUAGGGGCUCAACCUUAGUGGGAUACGCCGUUUGGUCUCCGCCUGGGGUCAAACGGAAGAAGACAAUCAGGCUGACCCAACGCGUAGCCGGUUACGGGGCGACGCUCGGGUGACAUCAAAACUGUGACUACACCCGUAGAAGCUUAUGUGGCGUUAUCUUCGGACAGGGGUUCGACUCCCCUCGUCUCCAUUU